UACGUAGGGGGCAAGCGUUGUCCGGAAUCAUUGGGCGUAAAGAGCGCGUAGGCGGCCCAGUAAGUCCGCUCUGAAAGUCAGGGGCUCAACCCCUGGAUGCGGGUGGAUACUGCUGGGCUAGAGUCCGGAAGAGGCGAGUGGAAUUCCUGGUGUAGCGGUGAAAUGCGCAGAUAUCAGGAGGAACACCAAUGGCGAAGGCAGAUCUCUGGGCCGUAACUGACGCUGAGGAGCGAAAGCAUGGGGAGCGAACAGG
rnacentral:rRNA from 1 species